CCUACGGGAGGCAGCAGUGGGGCAUAUUGCACCAUGGGGGAAACCCUGCUGCAGCGACGCCGCGUGAGUGAAGAAGUACUUCGUUACGUAACGCUCUAUCAGCAGGGAAGAAAAUGACGGUACCUGAGUAAGAAGCCCCGGCUAACUACGUGCCCGCAGCCGCGGUAAUACGUAGGGGGCAAGUGUUAUCCGGCUUUACUGGGUGUUAAGGGAGCGUCGACGGGGCGCCAAGUCUGUAGUGAAAGGCCGCAGCUGAACUGCUGAACUGAUUUGGAAACCGGCGAACUGGAGUGCGGGAGGGGGAAGCGGAAUGCCUAGUGUAGCGGUGAAAUGCGUAGAUAUUAGGAGGAACACCGGUGGCGAAGGCGGCUUACUGGACCGUAACUGACGUUGAGGCUCGAAAGCGUGGGGAGCAAACAGGAUUAGAUACCCCAGUAGUC
rnacentral:rRNA from 1 species